rnacentral:lncRNA from 1 species
UGUCACCAAUCAUACGGAUCCCCAUGUGGGACACACUUUAGCAUGAACACAACCUUGCCUCGGAAAGCAUACGUGGGAAAAUAUGCCAGGGGGGUAGCUCCCCAAUUCUCCUGCCCAAAGAUGUUUGCCAUAGACUACGCUGACUGGCCCAUUCAGGAGCCCCUCGGGUUUCCGCUGGACCUACCCUUCUGAUUUGAGAUCAUCCACGUGUUUUCCCACCUCUGGAGGCUUUUAUUUUCUGCUUCCUCCCUUCUUAGUACAGUGCCAAUCACUGCUCUCCCCCGCCGCCCCCCUCCCCAAAGGCUCUCUGAGGCUGCUCCCUUUGUGAUUGGCAUCUCAUUAAUGAAGAAGGGCUGGUGUCUCUCAUUACAGUUAGAGUGAGUGAGAGGACCUCAGAACUAAUUUACUUGCUCUCACUAGGGAAGACACUUGCCUCCAUCAAGAACUUCACUUUCCUGCUGCCUGUGGCAAUAAAAGAACCCGUUUUGUUUUAACAUUAAUAAGGAAAUUCCACUCAUUGAUAAAGCUCGGCUUCGACACCCCUGCUCACAACGAAAUACCUUCCUUGCCAACCACAUUGCUUUAUGAUCGUGCCCCUUUACCACAUUGUACUUGAAACGCCUUGUCAUUUAAGAAACCAUAAAAACGACGUCUUUAAAAAUGGGUUCAUCAUUUAGCUGGAGAUGGCUUCUGUGCCUGGAACCAGAAGCCUGUCCUCUCGGUGGUAUGCCUCCACAAAAGGAAGCGAGCUACCACAAAGGACAGCAUCAUGUGUUGCCUUCAUUGCUAUUGAAUCGGGAAGUUGGUGCCCAGUUUCAAUAUGGAUGACAAAGUAGUGGGAAUCUGAAAUGCCUACAGUAGAAGCUAUUUUUGAACGAGAAGGACUUUGGCUCAAAUCAACAGUUUGGUUUCUUACCGUUUACAUCUAUGAGUCAAAGUAGCUUGCUCCCAGGAUCCCCCACCAAACCGAAUGAAAAUAAAUUCAAUGUGUGCCCACUGAGCCUGGCCUGGGAGUUCUUGAGAUCAACUCAGAAUCAUGGUCUUUCUGUCACUCCCAAAACAAUCCUACCUAAUUCUACUUGUUCCUAAGUAUUGCCU